rnacentral:rRNA from 1 species
UACGUAGGGUGCAAGCGUUGUUCGGAAUUACUGGGCGUAAAGGGCUCGUAGGCGGCCAACUAAGUCAUACGUGAAAUCCCUCGGCUUAACCGGGGAACUGCGUCUGAUACUGGAUGGCUUGAGUUCGGGAGAGGGAUGCGGAAUUCCAGGUGUAGCGGUGAAAUGCGUAGAUAUCUGGAGGAACACCGGUGGCGAAGGCGGCAUCCUGGACCGAUACUGACGCUGAGGAGCGAAAGCCAGGGGAGCAAACGGG